UACGUAGGGGGCAAGCGUUGUCCGGAAUCAUUGGGCGUAAAGCGCGUGUAGGCGGCUAGAAAAGUCCGCUGUGAAAACUCGAGGCUCAACUUCGAGCUGUCGGUGGAAACUUUCUGGCUAGAGUCCGGAAGAGGAGAAUGGAAUUCCUGGUGUAGCGGUGAAAUGCGCAGAUAUCAGGAAGAACACCCGUGGCGAAGGCGGUUCUCUGGGACGGUACUGACGCUGGAGACGCGAAAGCGUGGGGAGCGAACAGG
rnacentral:rRNA from 1 species